rnacentral:pre_miRNA from 1 species
UGUGUACUCUCUCCGUCCGGAAAUACUUGUCUUCGAAAUGGAUAAAAUUUCGAGGACAAGUAUUUCCGGACGGAGGGAGUACUAU